ACCACAGAUGAUUUGUAGUAUGUUUACUUUCUUAAAAAUAAAAAUGACUUCCUCACAACUAAUGAGAGAAAAGUGUUAACUCAGCAGCUUUGGAAUAUUCAAACCCUGCAUAUUCUGAAGGAGUCAGACCCUUGAGGAGCACCAGGAAGAUAACCUCUAGAUCCUGGAAAUGUCCUGCCUUGCAGAGAGAAAAUGACCCAUGUGAGACAUGACUUGGAAAAAAAAAUAAAGACGAUUAUGAUCAUCUAAACAGUAGUGGCAGCUGAAGUGCAAAACAAAAUCACAUUCAAGAGCAAUUCAAGAAGCAAAAUGUUGAGAAGUUGAUAUGGAUUUUUGAUGCUUCAAAAGGAGUCCCAAGCAAAUAAGAGUCCCAAGCAAAUAAGACAAGUAGAAUGAAGAGAAAGGAAAUGGAAUUCAGCUCCAUUUUUCAUCUCUCUGAAACCACAGAAAAGAUGGGUAACCGCCUUAGGGCAAGACAAUUAGGCUGAGCUACAAACAUGAAGGAGUAACAUUGAGUAUUACACUUUCAGCUUAUCUAAAAGUUUAAAUUAUUUCUUUGCAAUAAAAACCUUCAUAAAGAAUCAUUGGAAAAUUUCUUCAAUGUUUUGACUUGGAACUUUUAAAAUCUACUUGAUCUUAUGAUCAUAUUGUACUGCUUUGCACUGGCAUAGAUUAGUAAAUAUAUUAAGUUCAAAGGUAGUGCUUGCUUAAUUAAUGUUUGAAUUUUGUAUAUUACUGCUCUUAUGUCAAAAUAUUGAAAAUAUGUUUUCACUUGCAAUAUUCAAAUUUUAUAACAGGUUGCAUAGUAACUAAGCAAGAACAGUUUCAGAAAAACCAAUUCCGUGACUUAUAUGAAUUUGCCAUAAAAAUAUCUUUUGGGGAGAAAUAAUUCAAACUCUAGAUUGAGAGCAAUAAAGAUUUUAAGAAAUUAACCAUCAACUUAGGACCACAGGAAAAUGUUCUAUAAGUCUUUACUACAUUUUCAAAAGAUCUCAGCUCUUUCUCUGAAGAGAAAUGACACAAAUUCAGGCUCAGACCAAGGAAAUAAUAUGUAUUUCAUUUGGUAAGAUUUAUAUUCCUUGAAAAAAAGUUUAAUGUUGAAUAUAAUAAUUAAUAUUUGUUUCUAUUUUUAGUGUACUGUGUGAAUUCAGAAUAGUAAAUUUGCCUUCAUGGUAACUUGGAUUGAGAUUAAUCACUUUCUAAAUUUGCUUGCUGCUGAAAAGAAUAAAAAUCAUUUCAAAAUAAAAUUAUAGGAUACUGUUUUUCCGAUUUAACAUAACAGAUGGUUUUCAUUCUUUUAA